UCAGUUCAGAUUCAGAUUAAUUAUUAAAAAUAAAAUGCCAAACCAAAGGCGAAUUAGACGAAAAAGGAGUUUAACAGGUCGAAGAGAAGAGAGCCGUAGUCAUGCAGGAUCUAUGGCAAGUUAUUUCAAAGCUGCCCUAAACUCCGUAGUUCUUCCGGAGUAUAGUUCGCUUGGGGGUUUGACUAAUAUAUGUUUACACUGUAAAGCAAAACAUUUCGGAAGUGAAAAGGUAAGAAAUGGCUUUACGACAUGUUGUCAUGGCGGAAAAGUUAAACUUCAAGAAUUACGUGUACCUGAGUUUUUGAAAGCUGUGUUAGAAAAUGAUUUGAGCUCUUGGCGGGGACACUAUUUGGAGAAUAUUCGGCAGCUAAAUAGUUCGUUUGCUUUUGCAUCAUUCGAAGCGAAAAUUGCGGAGCCUACAGGGCGCGGACCAUAUUGCUUCCGAAUACAUGGAUCAAUAUAUCAUAGGGUAGGUCCAUUGCAUGCAGAUCAUCCUUCAGAAUCCUCCUACGCCCAG